AACGAACGCUGGCGGCGUGCUUAACACAUGCAAGUCGAACGCACCGCGAGGUGAGUGGCGCACGGGUGAGUAACGCGUGGGAAUCUACCUUUUGGUUCGGAAUAACACAGGGAAACUGGCGCUAAAACCGGAUACGCCCUUCGGGGGAAAAAUUUAUUGCCAAAAGAUGAGCCCGCGUUGGAUUAGCUAGUUGGUGAGGUAAUGGCUCACCAAGGCGACGAUCCAUAGCUGGUCUGAGAGGAUGAUCAGCCACACUGGGACUGAGACACGGCCCAGACUCCUACGGGAGGCAGCAGUGGGGAAUAUUGGACAAUGGGGGAAACCCUGAUCCAGCAACGCCGCGUGAGUGAUGAAGGUCUUCGGAUUGUAAAGCUCUUUUGGCAGGGACGAUGAUGACGGUACCUGCAGAAUAAGCUCCGGCUAACUUCGUGCCAGCCGCCGCGGUAA
rnacentral:rRNA from 1 species